GUUGCUUUGAAGAGUUUUGAGCGUGAGCUCGCUCGGAGCCGCUGUUGGUGCAGAUCUUGGUGGUAGUAGCAAAUAUUCAAGUGAGAACCUUGAAGGCUGAAGUGGAGCAAGGUUCCAUGUGAACAGCAGUUGGACAUGGGUCAGUCGAUCCUAAGAAAACGGCGAAAGCUUGUUCGAAUUUGCGACAUGAAUUGUAAGACUGAAUAAUUAUUUGUGUGUGUGUUGUGGUGGAGGCGAUUGUGUCGUCACCAGUUGUUGUUGUGUGCAGUUGUCGUAUGUUUUCGAAAGGGAAUCCGGUUGAUAUUCCGGAACCGAGUAACGGAGACAAAGAGUAGCGCUUUAAUCUCUCUGUGGGGUUGGCGUUCAACUCAAUCGCGCGGUAACGCAAGCGAACUCGGAAAAUGACCGUCGUGAGUUUCGAAAAGAGUUUUCUUUUCUUUUUAAGGGACGCAUUCCCUGGAACCGGGUUGUCCGGAGAUAGGGAUUCUGGUAUCCAUAAAACGCCGACUUUUUCACGGUGUUCGGAGCGCUCUCGUCGGUACGUGAAAAUCCGAGCGACGCCUGGUAAAUCUCGUACUUGGUCGUACUGAUAUCCGCAGCAGGUCUCCAAGGUGAAUAGCCUCUGGCCGAUAGAAUAAUGUAGGUAAGGGAAGUCGGCAAAACGGAUCCGUAACUUCGGAACAAGGAUUGGCUCUAAGGGCUGGGCCGAUCGGGCUGAGGUUUCAAGCGUGCAGUGUAUGCUUGGCUUAGUUGUGUUGAGGACUUGUUCACUUGCCCCCGGUUGUU
rnacentral:ncRNA from 1 species